UGGCGUGUGGCGUCCUCCACAAUGUGGCACACCUGCACCACAUCCCCAUGGCUGAGCAGCACGUUGCCCCACAUGAUGAACCAGAAGCAGACGGAGGGAUGCGAGCUGAUCCCUGCCGGGCCGCCGUCCUCGCGCGGGAGAUUCUCAUCACCACAAUGUGAAUGGGUAAGAAGUGAAUACACAGUUUAAUGAGCCAAAUUAUUUUAUUUUGUCCACCAGACGCUCGAGGACAUUUACGAGGCGGUCCAGCCGCUCGUUGAUCCCUGUGAUCCCCCUAAUUAUUUGUUCCUGUGAUUGCAGGACCGCCUCCGUGAGGACCCUUCCACUGCGUCCGGGUGGUCCAGCGGAAGCGCCGCGGCUGGUGGACGCUCCAUCGCUUGUCGGCGCGCUGGUGCUGGUGCUGGGGCCGGGGGCAUCCCGAAUGCCGCUGGUCCUGGCCGACGACUCCGAGCCGGCGGACUGGCUGCCGCGGGCCGGGGUUCCACAAGCCGGCGACACGGCUGACACAUUGAUUUCUGU